UGCUAGACACCCCCCCCCCCACACACACGCGCACACAUGCUCGCAUGCACGUAUGCACGCACACACACGCGCACACAUCCAUUGUCAGAAGCCGGUAACAGCUCUCAAUCAUCCCCACCUCAUGCCAUUUUAUAAAAUAUGCUAGUUAGUUCAUCUGGUAUAGAGAGGAAGGUUAUUGUGAGACAGAAUGCAUAAUAAGGACAGGCUCCUGCUGCACUCAAUGCAAAUGUGAAGCCUGACGUGUCAGGGCUGUGAUGGAUCUGUUCUGACAGACACAGUGACAGGCCGGUGACAGCAACUUUAAAAACCUACACUCCUUCACUCCCUCGCUCUCUCCCUCCUCAUAUAUAUUUACAACAGGAGCAUCUUAAUGCACUUUUCCUCCCUAAUCUCUCAUGUUCCUAUGCAGCUAGUUCAGAGACGUCCCCAUAUUUCACAGGAUAUGGAAUUUUUGUGAUCUGACAAAGGUUGUGGGCUGAUAUGCAAGCUCUGCACUGGUGUAUGAUAUCUGCAUAAACUGUUGGCUGCUGCAUAAUGCGCAGGGUUUGUCAGUAAAUAUUAGAGAGAGACGCUGAGGUUCCUCAUUCAAACCCAACGCUCUACACUCUACACUAAUCUAGUCUUAUUUGCAAUUGCAUUUCUUUGGUGUAAUUUUAUAAGUAAACAACAAGUACCCUCAUGUUAAAACUGAUGCAUAAUAUGAUAACGUUUAGCAAAAUUUUGCAUCCAAUUUUUUUAACCUAGUGUUUGUCUUUUGCCUUUUUUGUUGGCUGGUAAAUUCGUGCCUCUUUGCAGGGAGAGAUUAUAAAACCACAUUUUUCUCUGUGGACAGAUUUCAUACACAUUUUCCCUCUAAAAGCAGCGGCCACCGUUCUUUUCACCCUCUGGUUCUGCAGGCGGUGAUGUUACCUUUCACGACAACCUGAGGGCGUUACUGUAAAUCAGUGGAUGUCCACACAUGGACGGCCCAAGUUACUGUAGAAAUCCUGGCUCCGAAUUCAUUGUGAGAUCAUUUCCAGGCAUUAACAUGCUACAUUUGGUUAUUACAGUUCUGUUAAGAUAUAAUUUUCCAUACAUACGCUAUUUUAAAAAUACUAUAGAAUAAACAAAUGAUUCCAAUUUUGCAGUUGACUUUUGGGUCAUUUUGUGGCUAGCACGUUUUCUGACUGGCUUAAGGCUAAGCAACGGCCUACAGCAUUAGUUAUCAGCUAUUAGUUAGCAUCACUAUGAGCACAUUGAUAGCUUAGAGUGCUGGCACCACAUAAUGUGUGGAAACAUUGUUAUCCACAUUAAAAGAAAGUGGUUGCCGUUGCCACAAAGAUGUAUGAAGACGAAUGUUGCUAUAGUUACCUACAAUUAAUGCUGUAUAUCUUACGCACUGAUUUAUUAUACUUUUCAAAACAUGCUUUUGCUGUUCGUUAAAUGCGCUCUUAAUGGACAGCUGCUAACCAAUCAGAAAGGAGUUUUUUAAAUGACCACUGCAUUAAAGCUUCUUAGGGUCCAACUUUAAUGAAGCAGCCAAAUCUGACAGUGUUUCCGCAUUUGAUGUUUUGAAGACUGAUCCGCAAACGACAGAAUACGUUAAAGUCAGCGGAGAUGCUGUACAAUAAUGUGUCACGAUCCCGUUUCCGUGGCACCCUGGCCCCACACGGUUUCCAUAGGGAAGGCUGACGGGACUUCCUGCUGGCUCACUGCUGCCGUUUAGUACAGCAGAGCCUCCCCAGGGAUUCAGCUGAUGGCGAACAUCAAAGCAGCGCCUAGCAUAUUAGAACGGCGAGAUGUGGGUGGAGGUCAUCUCCAAUGAAUUCCACCUCAUAUAUGGGACAAAUGCCUUUAGCGCGUUGCAUGAAUGCUCAUUAUCAAUUCAUGGAGCCACUGAACACUCCCUGUUUCUCUUCAAACUGCUUUUUUUUCUCCUCUUUAAAAGGGAGCGGAGUUUUUUUAUUUUUUUAUUUUUGUCUUUUUUGAGCACGAAUUUCGACAAUUCAAACUUCCGCUCAAUGACAAGCUACGAGUCCCACGCUGGAAAAAGGUCCCAUGUGUUUGAAGCAUCUAGGCCGCUCCAUCUUUUUGAUCAGCAGCUCGGCUGUGAAUUCUGCAGAUCAGAAAGUGGAUCAGAGGCUCCCUGGGGACCGCCAUUUAUGCCUGCCACCAGCAGAGGAUAGAGAACGUAAUUAAGAGUUUGUUAAGAUGCCCAAAUUCCUUCUCAUUUCCACCCGCCUCCCUCCACCCGCCUCCCAUUCCUCCUCCUCCUGCUCCCAGUAGCUCUGAUCUCGCCACAGAUUAAACCUCUCAUUCCCCGAGAAGACAGAGCCAUGGAGGGGAGCCGCAUCUCCAGCCACACAUCCUGAUUAUCUUAAAGAGUAAUUAGUGAGUGUGGCAAUUCCAGAGACGCGUUGUGCGUUGUGUCGACAUGAUGGAGAUGGAUUAUUCUGGCUGGGGUGUACACAGGCCCCUCUGAAAGACACAAGAAAGAAUCCUGCAUGUGUUGCAUGCAUGUUGCUGUAAUUAUUAGUGUCAGUCAUUCUUUAUCUGUUUUUAUGCUGUUCAUUACCACUGCUGUUCAUGUAUGUGUAUGUAUCCAUGUCAAUCAGUCAGCGAGCAGCUUCAAACUACAAGGCAACAAUUAUCGCCACAACAACGCGGCUGGAUUUACCGUGUGAUGGUGAAUGCUAAUUGAUCUGAAAAUGCAUUGUUUUGUCUUUGGAGGGGGACUUUGUUUACAUUGAAAUGUGUCUGGUUCCGUAUCCGUGAGGAUGGAUUUCAUACUUUAUUCAUGUAACCCUUCUUAUCCAGAGGAAAACAAGAGCCACAGGAAAUUAGCACAACGCACAUGGAGUGGACAUGUCUUCUAUCAUCACUUCCUGAAUGUCAUUAUUUCAGGCUACACUUAGUUUGGCAAUGUGAAAAAGAGAGCAGUUUAUUUUAAUCAGAGAGAAAAGGAAAGUGUUGGACGGUUGUAGCCAUUUCACCUAAAGUAAAGACAGCUGUGUUGAGAACCAAGUCUGCUAAAGUGUCUUCAUCUGCAGCCGCUCAGCUGUCGCCCGACUGCGUGUCCUGCUCCUCAGAUCACCUUCCAGCUGUUCUGUGUCACUGACCCGCUUGCUACAAUACCUGCGUGUUUUGGAUUUGGACCACGCCCUGACUUCACAGUAGACCACAGUACUGUCGGAGUCCACAUUUACUAGAAGCUGAUCAUCUUGGUCUCAGAAUCACUCGAAUCCAUUUUCCUGACACUACACCUGUGUAAUAAAUGUGUCUAACGUCCAACCGUGAAUCUCCUCUCCUCUCCUGUUACCAUCAGAACCACACGACCGAUGCUUCAUUGAGUUACGAGAAACGCAGUGAAUAUGAAUGAAAUAUGUUCAUGUGUACGGAGACAAUACUGCUUUUCAUAGGAUGAUAAUAAUAACCAUGUGUGAAGGUUUACCUUUAGAAAAAGGUUUAUUGGCUCAUUGUUAACAUUUAUUAUGGAAUUAUAUAACUAUUCUGUAUGUUUGUUAUUGAGCUCACAGUGGGUGCUUGAGUUUUAUUGAAGUGCUUUAUAUUAUGAAAUGGCUCUAAUACUUCGUCCUACAUUACAAUAACAUCAAUUGAAUUCAAUGAAAAACAGCACUUAAUAUACUUGAUUAAAAUAAGUCAUGGUCCAUGAACAUAUAUCACUGAGAUAGAAAAUUAGCUGAUAUACGAAGAUUACAAUGUGUGAUGGUGACACCUUGUCUAGAAUUCCAUAUACAGCAGGUCAUUAUUGUUUUAAUUUAUCAUCACCUUCGGAUUUUUAUUUACCACAAUAGCAGCGCUUAUCAGUAGGGUUCCCCACUUUGGUCCAGUCACAAAUAUCUCAGCAAGUCUAGCUUGUUUCAGACGGCUCAGACCCAGCAGCAGGUUUUGGUGAUUAGGAAGCACAUAAUAUCAUGGCUCUGAGACAGCUGACGCAUCUGCCUCUCUGCAAAUUCAUAUUGUUGUCUGGAUGGUGCAGAACGAUAUGCAGCCAUAGUGUGAGCACCGAAAUGUAUUGGCCAGCUAUGAGUGCAUCAAUUCAGAACUUUUAGAUUGCUCUUAUUGUGAAAAGGCCAGUGUUUUAUCAUGAUAACUCAUUUCUGUAUUAACAUCCACGUACUGUAGAUACACUCCAUAUAGUAGUUCAUGGGGACUCAUGUUUAAUGUUUUGGUUGACUGUUUCAUAGAACCUGUGUGAAGAUCUUCACAUCUAGUUUCGCUUUCCCUGCUUAUUUGAACAGAGGAAACACAACUGGUGACAUAAACAACCAUGUAAGCAACCAACUGUUUUGGUGUGAAUGUCUUGAACAUGUUGGCCUGUAACACUGGCUGAAUCGAGAGACUCCCCUUCCAGCCACUCUCUGCUGCCCCUGGGACUUUUUUUUUCCUUGUUCACUUCAUGUCGAGAAGCCAAAACAAGCAGGAGAGAAAACAGAUCAAUGCAGCGUUAUAUCAGAUGAUGGAAAAGCCGCGAAGGAGGAGUGUUAGCAGAGAGAACCGAAGAUCAAAGUGGGCAAAUGAGUGACAUCAUCGCCUUCAUCGUGCCGUGAUUAAAACUCCACUUCAGAGGACACAGAGGAAAGCUGGGGAAUGGAAGGCAGGGGGAACGCGUGAUUGGAUGGCAGACAGAUUGCAUCUAUCACAGAGAAAUGAUCUACCUCAAAACGGUGCCCGCCUCCAUACUCUGCUCUCUUUUUUAAAAGGGGGGCAAUUCUCUGCACUUCCCAAGGUGUCAGCGGCGCUAACCUAUCACAGCCGUCAGCUCUGGGUAGCUUUCUUACAUUGAGUCGGGCGAUAGACAUCUCAUUACACUUUCAUGCUCUCUGCUGCUAUCCGCUGUGGGUCCACCGGCUGGUGAAAGGGAGCUAAGCGCGGCCUCAUUGAUUCAGACGGGUCUUCUGCUCUGCAUGCCCAGAGGCAGGCGCUCUGCUCCCCCCCACGUUAAUUAAUUUCCUGACACGUCAGUCUUUGUCACUCCCCGCAGUCACGGCUUCUGCUCCGCGUUCCGCGGCUGGGCUUCCAUAAAACGGUCUGAUGUUCGACAUCAAAAAGGUCAGUCAGGGUUUGCCAAACGAGGCAGAGCUUGAGCCUCCGUGGCCGGGGCCGGAGCUGGCCUGAGAUCAGCCGAGCCAUCAGCCAGAGUACAGCCUCAUCUGACAGUAUCUCUCUGUGUCAGCAUGGAACACUGGAGUCAUUCUGCACUGGCCCUGCAGCAGGCCAGACAUAUGGUUGACAUGCUUUGCCUGGGGUUAUGCCUUGGGGCUGGCAUCCCUUCUCUGUAGGCCUCCGCUCCCUGGAGAAGCAGGUGGUGCCAAAUAACAGCUGCUGAAUGCAGAACCCUUAAUUUUGCUUCUCCUCAGCCUGGCCAGUACACCGAGUACUGCAGUGGCUUUAUUAUUAUUAUACUAUAUUUGUGUAUUUUUAUACUACUGAAAUAAUGUAGACAGCUGUUUUUGUCAGAUACUUGUGUUCAGUGUGUUACUUUAGCUACACUAAAAUUACAUCACGGCUUUAGAAAUAGCAAUGUUCCUCAGAGAAUGAACCCUAAUGACUUCAAUCAGCUGAUUUUUAAAAAUACAAUUUUAUACAAUUUAGAGUCUUGGACUUGUUCACAUUAACACACACACACACACUAUACACUCCUGUGUAGGAUUGUGGAACGUGUGAGUGUGUAGAAUCUGACUCGUUAUAUAAUAUUAGUUAAUUAAAAACACUGUACUUAAACACAAAUGUUUAACUAAUAAGAGAAUGUGACUAUAUCACAUUAUUGAGUUGUGAUUGGUCAAAUGUUACUUCUUGAUGACGAAAUUAAUCAAGACUUUAGUGUGUUAGUGUGUUUAGUGUGUUUCUCCACAGCAGAUAACGUUUGGACUCAAUGCUCGUAGCUUUGAGGUCAUUCUUGACUUGAAGUUGUUCCAACAGGGACCUUCUCCUGUAGCCGAUUGUAGAUCCUGUCACUGUCACAAGUGUGUCGUUACAGUGAAACUCUGCUGACGCUGGGAUCCCAGUGUUACCUGUCUGAGGACUCAGACCCAGUGACUGUGGCGAUGGACAGAUCAGGGAGCUUUUUUUCACCAUACACACUGUGGCUGCUGAUCUGUGUUAUCUUCUUUGCUCAUCUGUGCUGUUGACCUCACUCCAGACACAAAUUACAAUUCCGUCCCUCUGUGUGAUAUUGAACUUUUACUAAUCUCUCUGUGCCCUCUAGGACCCUGCACCGAUCUUCUGUAUCUCACAUGUCUCACUCACUCCAUUCAACACCCCUUUACAUCCAUUUAUAUCCCUAUACAUAUACUGUAGGCCAACUGUCACAAUCCAGGGCUUUUAGCAUGUAAUUUCCUGUUUUACUUUGAAAUAUCUGGUUCUGUGUCACACCAGGUUUUGUGUUCUCUUUACUUCUGCUCAUUAGUCCCCAGCUGUCACCAAUCAGUAAUCUAGUUCCCCAGUAUUUAGCCAAUAGCAUUUGUAUCGACCUCAGCCUGCACCACAAAUCUGAAUUUUGUAUUAAACCCUUCAUACUUACCUGUCUGCCUCCUGUGCUGUGCAUGUGGUCAUCUCGUGUCCUCUUGGUUGGCUCCAAAUGUUUGUGUUUAUCUGUAUAAUGUUCCUUCCAGAUGAACAUUACACAAACUUUACGCAAACAGUUUGACAGUGACAGUGUUUAAGAUGCCAUUUAAGGUGAUGGUCUUGUACUUAUUCAAGGUCCUCCUCAUGUAUUAUAUUAUAUCAUGUUGUAUGUUGUUCAGUCACCUUGUCAUGUUGUACUGUUGCCAUGUCAUGUUGUAUUUCAUGUUGUAUGUUGUACUGAUACUGUACCAUGUCAUGUUGUAUGUUGUACUGUUUGUACUUUUUCUUAUGCUGAGAUGCACCACCUGCUAACACCAGGUCAAAUUCCUCAUUCUGUAAAGUGCGCUCUACAGAACCUGGCAAUCAAGCUUUUCUAAAUUUGAUUCUGAUUCUGAUGUGACCUGUGUGAUCUCUUUACACCUUAUAGUCAGUCUUGUUCUCUCUACUUUCAGUCCUGCUGUGUUAAAAGUAAUUCAGCUGGCUGCAUGACUUUUACCUAUUGUAUCUUAACCUCCCUGUUCAGACAGGUUGACUAACAGUAACAUCCAUCCAUCCAUUUUCUAAACCGCUUAUUCCCUAAUGCGGGGUCACGGGGGUGCUAGAGCCUAACCCAGCUGGCUACGGGCGAGAGGCAGGGUACACCCUGGACGAGUCGCCAGUCCAUCGCAGGGCAACACAUAGACAGACAACCAUUCACACACACACUCACACCUACGGGCAAUGGAGAGAGUACAAUCAACCUAAUGAACGUCUUUGGACUGUGGGAGGAAGCUGGAGAACCCGGAGAGAACCCACGCAAACACGGGGAGAACGUGCAAACUUCACACAGAAAGGCACCAGGGAAUCGAACCCAGAACCUUCUUGCUGUGAGUGCUGAGUUCCUCUCAGUCUUGCUGGCUCUUGUUUAGAUCCACAUGGUAGAGACCAGGUUGUGUGGUUCAGGUCCAGAAUCUGGUUCAGGUAAAGUUUCUUACCUACAAAACCUAUUAAUUACAGGUGAACUUCCCUGCUUUUCAAUAAGGGUUGACCAAAACAACCUCGGGUAAUAUUUAAGAAUGAAGAGACACUCAGAUUGCUCACACAGACACAGAUGCACACCCCCCCACACACACAAACAAACACAUCAACACACACUACCACAAAUUCUCUCACAAAGAACUAGUUAAUCAUAUGUGAACCCAUGCACUCUCAGAUACAUUUUCACACCCACACCAUUCACUUGUUCUCAUUCAUGGGGGGGUUAGGUCUCUGGCCUGCUGCCCAUGUGGCCCCAGGCAGGGACCGCAGCACCUCCUGAGCCUCGCUCACCCACUCCAACCCUGGAAAAGCAGGGGGCAGCGGCAACCCAGCUUGAAUGUGAGUUUGUGGAACUAGAGUGCACCUUGAGGAGCACGACCGAUGGCUGACGGUGUGACCCUCGGACAGUGUCCCCCCACCCUAAAAGUCUAUUGUGCAUUUAAAUUGGAUAUUGAUGUCACCACCAGAGCCAGUGGGUGAAGCCACAGCUGGCCUCACCCCCAGGCUCCAGAGAAAGAGCCCACCCUCGGUCAUGAAUGUAUGUGUAUGUGGCUAGGUAUGAAGAACUUUGGAAGACCGCCAGUUCCCAGAGGGAUCCAGCAGACAGAGCGAUCAAAGUGAAGGCCAGGCACCCCCAUAGGGACCCCCACCGCGGACACAGGGUACCCAGGUCUCCAUGCCCAGGUGGAUCCACCCCCUCUCAGCCUUACUGUUGCUGGGGCAGGUACAGAGGAAACCAGGAAGCACUAGUUGUAGUCUGUGAGCCCAUACAGUAGCAAGUAAUCCGCCAGUCUGUGUUGGAGGAGAAAUCAGAGUGUCCUUUUAUUCUUAAAUACUACCUGACCUGGUUUUGGUCAAACCUCAAUAAAAAAUGGAUGAAGUUUUCCUAUAAAGACUAGUAAUCUGUCAUUUUUUCUACUGAAAGGGUGAAAAGCAGCUGUUUGGCGUGUAAAGCUCACUGAAUUGAACUGAAUAGUUGGUCUGAGGUUUACAAGACUGUAGCCUCCAUGGACAUGGCCUCAGUAAAAAAAAUUGAUAACAGAGAUAGAUAAUAAGAAUGGUUCUGUAACCGAAGGACCCAGAAAAACCUCCGCAGAUAUUAGAGUUAAACUUCAGUGUCAGAAUGUGCUGUCCAUCACUGUUUCAGCCCGAGGAGACAGGAGGAUCAGUUGUUGAAAGCAAAUCAUCAAAAAGAAAACAAAAAGUGAUAUUGACAAGUCACAAAGCCUCUGAGAGAAUGACGCUGGAGAGACAAAACCUGAACUUUUUGGGAAAUAACAGCAGUUCUAAACAAAGCAAAACAGAGAAUAGUAAACAUGUCAGGACAAAAGGACACUAGAAAAAAAAUAAAUAUUAAGAGAAGUUUACUCUAAAUGCUUCUUUUGAACUAGAAAAAUAAUUUAAUUUUAAGGUCUUAGCUAAGAAUACUAAAUACUCUGCCUCAUGGUCCUGAUCUAACACAACAUACUUCAAAAAUUCGCACAUCAUUCAUAAAAGCUACCAAUUUAAAGUUCAUGUCCACAGUCAUCAACAACUUCUACCGCAUCAGGUGAACUCAGGCCACGAAGUCUCUCCACAUGACUCCAUGACUUUCCGAAGCCAAUUUUAAGAAGCAUUUCCAUCUCGUCAUAAUAUCACAGAACACAGAUAUUAGUGUUUGUACUUUGAACUUGACCUUCGCUUGUGCCAGGCGUGAUGAAAACCCCAUAAACUGAGUUUCCCCCCGGAGAGAAAACCCUUUUCUCGGAGCGCUGAACAAAACGACUGCUUCCAUGUGGCUUCUCUUGAUAAAUUAUGGCGCGCUUGAAGUUGUGCCACAUUAAAAACAACCUGAGCGAUAUGUAGAUGUAACAAACCAGGAGCCCGUGCCCUGCUCCAGGCCAAAGCAAACAGACUUUGUGUACGCAAACACCUUUACCGAGCGAGAGCGGGGCAUUACCGGGCCACGGUGACCUGAAACAAACUGCCUCUCUCCACUUUUCUGUUCUGUCUCCUGGUUGUUCUGCAGCCACAUUGCUACUAAUUGAAAGUGCUGUGAAAUAUAGAUGAACACAGGAAGCAAGCAGACUGUUCCUUCCUCUUUCCCCCUUGCAUCCUCCAUCUCAUCUCUCAUCCCUCUUUAUCCUUUUAUCUCUUUAUCUGCCUCUCCUCCUGGGGUCAGAUUGGCCUCUCUCUGUUUCCCUCUGUCACUCCUGCUACUGUAAGUGUGUCUCCCACCACCACACUGCUCUACAAAUAGUUUAAGAGUGGAAGAGUCAGCACAACGCUUGCUCACGCGCACUCAUUUACUCUUCAGCUUUUUCAUCAAUAGAAAUAAAUGGAAAUAAUGGGUUUUGAAUUUAUUUGAAUUUAUUCACUAUCCAAACUGACUGUAAAUAAAAGCAAAUUAGAAGUGAAACCUAAAACAUGUAAAAAAAAAUACAGCAAAGCUAUUGGGGUACACCACCAUCACUAGGAGACGUGAGGAGAUUCAGGUCAAUACAUUUAGGCACAUAUUGUCUGAAACCAGACACUGAAACAGCCAAAAGCAAGCUGAAACAUAGUCUCAUCACAUUUAAAGGCAGCUUGUAGGUCACCAUACAUUUAAUACCACAUUAUUUGUGUAUUGUUAGUUACAGGACCAUAGUUGGGCACGAACAAAGCUUCCGUCUUCCUCUGGAUUUGUGGGGGUGAGCAGUUAGUUUGGAGAAAUUAAUAAAUAAAUUUUUUAUUUUUUUAAAAAGUUUAGUUGGUUGCUUCCUCAAAGUCUCACUAUACAGUGGGGUCAGCAGGACUCUGGUGAAGGGUCACAGACUCGAGAGCACCUGUGGUUGAAGGGGGAGCUGUGAUUGAUUGUAACACACACACCCACACACACACACACACACACACACACACACACACACACACACACACACACACACUGCAAGGAACUCAAGGUUACUAGGCCUGCAGGGGCUCACUCAGCUCCAAGAAAAUGUCUCUGAGCGUCAGCACUUUAGCUUUAUGGCUGCCUCACGCAGACACGGGCGGACACACACACACACACACACACACACACACACACACACACACACACACACACACACACACACACACACACACACACACACACACAAGCCUGCUAGUUGCUGUUGCGUGAUCAUUUGAUAUGGUUAUCUGUAUAAGCUAAGUUCUGUGUCUGUGACUGUG